CUUUUUCAGGCUGAAGAUGUUGCCGCUGGUAGAGACGAUGGGAAAUCGUACUACGGCGGCGCAUGUCGGUCUAAGGGUGGAGGUUACUUUGCCAAUGGGCAAGGAAGGCCAAAGAAGGGAAGAGCUAGAGAAGCUAAGAGACAGACAC